CCAAAAGGUGCUGGAUCAGAUAUAGCAUAAUUAUGGUGUGCCAUGGAGAGGUGGAAAUGCACGCUGAAGUGUCAGCUGGUGUGGGCUAGCCACAAUGAAUGACACAUGUUCUGAGGCAUUAUGAUGGUUCAUUCAGCCAGUAACUUUCCAUGUAGAUAUUAGCUUCCCCUUCUUGGAGAGAAAGCAGAAGCCUGGGGAUUCUAGACAGUUUGCCUGAGGUCAUUAAGCUGGCAGGGGCAGCCCUGGACUUCAAAUGUAGGCAGUUUGGCUCCAUGAGCUGUGCCAGAACACCAAAAGGUGAGGGGCUGCCUUAAAAAGUCUAAUGACGAAAAAGAGCUUCAGGAAACCAAGGCUCAGACAAACACAAGGCCAAGGGAAUGCAGCCGCGAGAGCCAGGAUUGGAACUCCAGUUUGUUUGUUGCCAAAACCCAUCGCUGGUGGAACAGAGCUUUCACUUCAGUCUGACUCAGGAGAACUGAAACAUUCUAGCAAAGGGAUUCACAAGGACUACUGGGGAGCCCUGCCAAAUUCUGGAAUAUUUAUCCCGAGAACAAUUACCAGUGGUUUUUGCUAG
rnacentral:lncRNA from 1 species